rnacentral:rRNA from 1 species
UGGGGAAUAUUGGACAAUGGGCGCAAGCCUGAUCCAGCAAUGCCGCGUGUGUGAAGAAGGCCUUCGGGUUGUAAAGCACUUUUAUCAGGAGCGAAACGCUGUCGGCUAAUACCCGGCGGAACUGACGGUACCUGAGGAAUAAGCACCGGCUAACUUCGUGCCAGCAGCCGCGGUAAUACGAAGGGUGCAAGCGUUAAUCGGAAUUACUGGGCGUAAAGCGUGCGUAGGCGGUUUCUUAAGUCUGCUGUGAAAUCCCCGGGCUCAACCUGGGAAUGGCAGUGGAUACUGGGAGGCUAGAGUGUGUCAGAGGGUGGUGGAAUUCCCGGUGUAGCGGUGAAAUGCGUAGAGAUCGGGAGGAACAUCAGUGGCGAAGGCGGCCACCUGGGACAACACUGACGCUGAGGCACGAAAGCGUGGGGAGCAAACAGGAUUAGGAUACCCUGGUAGUCCACGCCCUAAAGCGAUGCGAACUGGAUGUUGGUCUCAACUCGGAGAUCAGUGUCGAAGCUAACGCGUUAAGUUCGCCGCCUGGGGAGUACGGUCGCAAGACUGAAACUUAAAUGAAUUGACGGGGUCAUAGCUGUUUCCUG